rnacentral:rRNA from 1 species
GAUGAACGCUAGCUACAGGCUUAACACAUGCAAGUCGAGGGGAAACGGCAUUGAGUGCUUGCACUCUUUGGACGUCGACCGGCGCACGGGUGAGUAACGCGUAUCCAACCUUCCCAUUACUGUGGGAUAACCUGCCGAAAGGCAGACUAAUACCGCAUAGUCUUCGAUGACGGCAUCAGAUUUGAAGUAAAGAUUUAUCGGUAAUGGAUGGGGAUGCGUCUGAUUAGCUUGUUGGCGGGGUAACGGCCCACCAAGGCUACGAUCAGUAGGGGUUCUGAGAGGAAGGUCCCCCACAUUGGAACUGAGACACGGUCCAAACUCCUACGGGAGGCAGCAGUGAGGAAUAUUGGUCAAUGGACGGAAGUCUGAACCAGCCAAGUAGCCUGCAGGAUGACGGCCCUAUGGGUUGUAAACUGCUUUUGUAUGGGGAUAAAGUUAGGGACGUGUCCCUAUUUGCAGGUACCAUACGAAUAAGGACCGGCUAAUUCCGUG